ACAUUGCUUGGUUACUAGGCUGAAUUCAACAUCCUGGAGUUUUCAGGCACAGGCAGCUGUCAGCAGUAGGUCCUAUGGGGCUUGUGCCCUUUCCGAGAUGAUGUCUUUUCUUCUGUUACAAUGGGGUUGUGUACACACUGUCCUCAAUGGGAAGAUGUUCACCAUAAUACAGAGAAGAAGAAAACAUUUACUGAUGUGAAAAAUACUCAACAGAAAAAUUGGGGCUCCACCAUCCCCUGUACCCCUGCCUCGCACUACCUGACACCCAUGAUUCCUUCAGGAUACUAAUAAAAAAUGAAACAGUGCAACAACACUAAAUAAAAAAAGUCCAGUUUGGACCAAAAUAUAAACAUGCAAAAUAAAGUCCUGUUUUAACCACUGCCUG